CUGCCCAAUGAAGAUUUAAAUGGCCGCGGUACUUUGACCGUGCAAAGGUAGCAUAAUCAUUAGUUUUUUAAUUGAAAGCUGGUAUGAAAGGUUGGAUGAGAAAAUUACUGUCUCUAUCUAAAUUUUUUAGAAUUUUAUUUUUAAGUAAAAAAGCUUAAAUUUAAAUAGAAGACGAGAAGACCCUAUAGAGUUUUAUAGAUUUUAAUUUAGAGACUUUUUGGUAUUAAUAAAUUUCUAAAUUAAUAUGUAUUUAGUUGGGGUGAUUGAAAAAUUAAAAAAACUUUUUUUAUGAAAAAUAACAUUUAUUUAUGAUAAAAUGAUUCUUAUUUAAAGAUUAAAAGAAAAAAUUACCUUAGGGAUAACAGCGUAAUUUUUUUAAAGAGUUCAAAUCGAAAAAAAAGAUUGCGACCUCGAUGUUGGAUUAAAAUAAAAUUUUGGUGUAGGGGCUAAAGUAUUUGGGUCUGUUCGACCCUUAAAAUUUUACAUGAUCUGAGUUUAAACCGGUGU
rnacentral:rRNA from 1 species